UGAGGAAUCUUGCGCAAUGGGGGAAACCCUGACGCAGCAACGCCGUGUGAGUGAUGAAGGCCUUCGGGUCGUAAAGCUCUGUUUGAAGGGACGAAAUGUAUUUGAUUAAUACUCAAAUAAUGUGACGGUACCUUGAGGAAGCACCGGCUAACUCCGUGCCAGCAGCCGCGGUAAUACGGAGGGUGCAAGCGUUGUUCGGAAUUACUGGGCGUAAAGGGCGCGUAGGUGGCUAAGUAAGUCAGGUGUGAAAUCCUUCCGCUUAACGGGAGAAGUGCACUUGAAACUGCUUAGCUAGAGUACGGGAGAGGAAGGUGGAAUUCCUGGUGUAGAGGUGAAAUUCAUAGAUAUCGGGAAGAACACCGGUGGCGAAGGCGGCCUUCUGGCCCGUUACUGACGCUGAGGCGCGAAAGCGUGGGGAGCAAACA
rnacentral:rRNA from 1 species